UACGGAGGGUGCAAGCGUUAUCCGGAUUCACUGGGUUUAAAGGGAGCGUAGGUGGGAUGGUAAGUCAGUGGUGAAAUCGUCCGGGCUUAACUCGGAAACUGCCGUUGAUACUAUCAUUCUUGAAUAUUGUGGAGGUAAGCGGAAUAUGUCAUGUAGCGGUGAAAUGCUUAGAUAUGACAUAGAACACCAAUAGCGAAGGCAGCUUGCUACACAAUUAUUGACACUGAGGCUCGAAAGCGUGGGGGAUCAAACAGG
rnacentral:rRNA from 1 species